rnacentral:rRNA from 1 species
AUUGAACGCUGGCGGCAGGCCUAACACAUGCAAGUCGAGCGAGCGGCGGACGGGUGAGUAAUGUCUGGGAAACUGCCUGAUGGAGGGGGGUAACUACUGGAAACGGUAGCUAAUACCGCAUACCAUCAGAUGUGCCCAGAUGGGAUUAGCUAAUAGGUGGGGUAAUGGCUCAACUAGGCAAAGAUCCCUAGCUGGUCUGAGAGGAUGACCAGCCACACGGGAGCUGAGACACGGUCCAGACUCCUACGGGAUGCAGCAGUGGGGAAUAUUGCACAAUGGGCGCAAGCCUGAUGCAGCCAGGCCGCGUGUAGGAAGAAGGCCUUCGGGUUGUAAAGUACUUUCAGCGGGGAGGCGUUACCCGCAGAAGAAGCACCGGCUAACUCCGUGCCAGCAGCCGCGGUAAUAC